rnacentral:tRNA from 1 species
GGUGUGGUGUAGUGGUUAAGAGUUUCAGAUUAGUGUUUGAGAGACCUGGGUUCAAUUCCCCACUCAUACCA